UGUUCACAAGAACAGUGGAAGCUGGCUCAGCUGGGUCUUUGGGAGUGGAAAAGUUAAUAAGAAGGAGGUUCAUCUACCUGAGGACAAAGACAGAUCUAUUGUCUGGGAUCCAACUCUGCACAGAUGGGUUGACAAAACUGAGCCCAAGGCUGAGAACAAGCUUGUACCACCAACUCCACCGAUGGGGAUGUAUGGAUUUCAGGGGAACCCUGGCAGUGUCCCCAAAGGAGUGAAUCCUUACUCCAUGAAAGCAGCAGGUCUAUGGGGCAGCAGAUACCCUACAAUGCAUUACACUGAUGGGACCAACUCAAAGCCUCCAAGCCAGGGGCCUGGACCACUUCCUCGACAGCUCUCUGGCCUGCUCCCUCCCUCACACUUUGACCUCAUGGCACCAAUGAUUGUGCCACCUGACACUCUACCCUACUGACGUAUGAAUCUGGAAAAUCCUUCCAAAAUGUAUCCAUUCAUCAUUAACUGAGCUUUUACUUUAACAUAGCAAAAGGCUGAAGUAGCACGGAUGUUAACUAUUUUUCUUUUUGUCCAACAGGCCAACAGGCCCUUUUCCAAGAGUGAAUUUGCCCAUAUCCAUAAAUUGAUUUUUUCAGCAUAA